GAUGAACGCUAGCGACAGGCUUAACACAUGCAAGUCGAGGGGCAGCAUAAAAGUAGCAAUACUUUGGUGGCGACCGGCGCACGGGUGAGUAACGCGUAUGCAACCUACCUAUCAGAAGGGAAUAACCCGGCGAAAGUCGGACUAAUACCGCAUAAAACAGGGGCACCGCAUGGUGAUAUUUGUUAAAGAAAUUCGCUGAUAAAUGGGCAUGCGUUCCAUUAGGUAGUUGGUGAGGUAACGGCUCACCAAGCCGACGAUGGAUAGGGGAACUGAGAGGUUGGUCCCCCACACUGGUACUGAGACACGGACCAGACUCCUACGGGAGGCAGCAGUGAGGAAUAUUGGUCAAUGGGCGAGAGCCUGAACCAGCCAAGUCGCGUGAAGGAAGAAGGAUCUAUGGUUCGUAAACUUCUUUUGCAGGGGAAUAAAGUGCGGGACGUGUCCUGCUUUGUAUGUACCCUGAGAAUAAGGAUCGGCUAACUCCGUGCCAGCCGCCGCGGUAA
rnacentral:rRNA from 1 species